rnacentral:rRNA from 1 species
AAGACCUUGCGCUUUUAGAGCGGCCGAUGCCUGAUUAGCUUGUUGGUGAGGUAAAAGCUCACCAAGGCUUCGAUCAGUAGCUGGUCUGAGAGGACGACCAGCCACACUGGGACUGAGACACGGCCCAGACUCCUACGGGAGGCAGCAGUGGGGAAUUUUGGACAAUGGGGGCAACCCUGAUCCAGCCAUGCCGCGUGAGUGAAGAAGGCCUUCGGGUUGUAAAGCUCUUUCAGCCGGAACGAAACGGUUACGGUUAAUACCCGUGAUUACUGACGGUACCGGAAGAAGAAGCACCGGCUAACUACGUGCCAGCAGCCGCGGUAAUACGUAGGGUGCGAGCGUUAAUCGGAAUUACUGGGCGUAAAGCGUGCGCAGGUGGUUUUGUAAGUCAGAUGUGAAAGCCCCGGGCUCAACCUGGGAACU